rnacentral:rRNA from 1 species
UGGGCGGAAGCCUGACGCAGCGACGCCGCGUGGGGGAUGAAGGCCUUCGGGUUGUAAACCUCUUUCAGCGGGGACGAAGCCGGUUUUGCCGGUGACGUGUACCCGUAGAAGAAGCGCCGGCUAACUACGUGCCAGCAGCCGCGGUAAUACGUAGGGCGCAAGCGUUGUCCGGAAUUAUUGGGCGUAAAGAGCUCGUAGGUGGCUUGUCGCGUCUGCCGUGAAAGCCCGCGGCUUAACUGCGGGUCUGCGGUGGAUACGGGGCAGGCUUGAGGCUGGUAGGGGCAAGCGGAAUUCCUGGUGUAGCGGUGAAAUGCGCAGAUAUCAGGAGGAACACCGGUGGCGAAGGCGGCUUGCUGGGCCAGUUCUGACGCUGAGGAGCGAAAGCGUGGGGAGCGAACAGGAUUAGAUACCCUGGUAGUCCACGCUGUAAACGUUGGGCGCUAGGUGUGGGGUCCUUCCACGGAUUCCGUGCCGUAGCUAACGCAUUAAGCGCCCCGCCUGGGGAGUACGGCCGCAAGGCUA